AACGGAAAACUGGAGAGGAGAAAGAAUCCUGCAGAGCAAGGAUUUGAUGUCUAAUAAAAUUUGAUUAUUAUUUUGUGCAGGUUUUUUAUUAGGUUUAAUACGUAUGAGGAAGUACUGGGGAUGGGGCGGUUUUCCUUGCUCUGCAGGAUUCUUUCUCCUCUCCAGUUUUCAGUUU